GAUGAACGCUGGCGGCGUGCCUAACACAUGCAAGUUGAGCGACGAGCCAGGGCUUGCCCUGCUGUAAUGCUGCGAACGGGUGAGUAACUCGUGCGUAACUUACCCCGCUAUCCGGGACAACCCGAUUAAACUCGGCCUAAUUCCGACCGUGCUCUCUUUUCUUCCGUUCGGUGCGUAAGUGAAGCUUCGUCUUCCUUAUCCGGAUAGGUCCGCGCCCCCUUCGUUUGUUGGUUAGGUAAGGGCCUACCAAGCCAGCGAUGGAUAGCUGGUCUGAGAGGACGAUCGGCCACACUGGAACUGAGACACGGCCCAGACUCCUACGGGAGGCAGCAGUAGGGAAUCUUGCGCAAUGGGCGAAAGCGUGACGGAGCAACGCCGCGUGAGGGAUGAAGGUCUUCGGAUUGUAAAACCCUUUCAGGAGGGAAGAAGGUAUGGGGAAGAAAAGGCGUACGGACUGACGGUACCUAAACAAGAAGCCACGGCUAACUACGUG
rnacentral:rRNA from 1 species